rnacentral:lncRNA from 1 species
UUAGAUGAGGUUGGUUAUGAUGAUGUUGGUGGAGUCCGAAAACAGAUGGCUCAGAUCCGGGAGCUGGUGGAGCUGCCGCUUCGUCAUCCCCAGUUAUUUAAAUCAAUUGGCGUGAAGCCACCAAAAGGGAUUCUGCUAUAUGGACCUCCUGGAUCUGGAAAAACUUUAAUAGCCCGAGCUGUUGCUAAUGAAACCGGUGCUUUCUUCUUCUGUAUUAAUGGACCGGAGAUCAUGUCAAAAUUGGCUGGGGAGAGUGAAAGCAAUCUCAGGAAAGCAUUUGAGGAAGCGGAGAAAAAUGCCCCAUCCAUUAUCUUUAUUGAUGAGAUUGAUUCAAUUGCUCCAAAGCGAGAGAAGACACAUGGAGAAGUUGAGAGGCGUAUUGUUUCUCAGCUCUUGACACUUAUGGAUGGACUUAAAUCCCGUGCACAUGUUAUUGUUAUUGGUGCGACCAAUCGUCCCAACAGCAUAGAUCCAGCUUUGAGAAGGUUUGGGAGAUUUGAUAGGGAAAUAGAUAUUGGUGUUCCAGACGAAGUUGGGCGUCUUGAGGUUCUUCGCAUCCAUACGAAGAACAUGAAGCUCUCCGAAGAUGUAAGAUCAACAUACUUAGCUCCUUACUAAAGUCCACAUCCCUUUUUAUUUCUUUUUAAAUGAAAUCUGAACGAGGUCUGGUUUUCUUUCAUACAGGUUGAUUUAGAAAGAAUUGCCAAGGACACUCAUGGGUAUGUGGGUGCUGACCUUGCUGCUCUAUGUACCGAGGCUGCACUUCAGUGCAUCAGAGAGAAGAUGGAUGUGAUUGACUUGGAAGACGAAAGUAUAGAUGCAGAGAUACUUAACUCCAUGGCCGUUACUGAUGAGCACUUUAAGACUGCUCUUGGGACAAGCAAUCCAUCUGCUCUCCGUGAAACAGUGAGUCUUUUGAAAUAUAUCAUAUGUGCCCUAGAGUUUCUUUGCUGAUUAUUGGUUGGGCCUUAUUUACCAUUUUUCCACUUUUUAUGAACCAGGUUGUUGAAGUGCCUAAUGUUAGCUGGGAAGAUAUUGGUGGCCUUGAGAAUGUUAAGAGGGAACUUCAGGAGGUAAGUGCAAUUGCCAAAUUGUCAUUCUUUCUCUAAAUUUAUUUUUUUUAAUCUUUUUAUGUGGUACGUAAUUUUUUUCAUACUUUUUUUUCUCAUGUAGACUGUUCAAUAUCCUGUGGAGCAUCCUGAGAAAUUUGAGAAGUUUGGCAUGUCUCCUUCCAAGGGAGUUCUUUUCUAUGGUCCACCUGGAUGUGGUAAAACUCUGCUUGCUAAGGCCAUCGCCAAUGAAUGUCAGGCAAACUUCAUCAGUGUCAAGGGUCCAGAAUUGCUUACAAUGUGGUUUGGAGAAAGCGAGGCCAAUGUGCGAGAAAUUUUUGACAAGGCUCGCCAAUCUGCCCCUUGUGUCCUAUUCUUUGAUGAACUCGAUUCCAUUGCUA